AUGACGAUCGUGGAGAUGCAGAUGAACAUCGACUGCGACGGCUGCGAAGACAACGUGAGGAAGGCCCUUCUCAGGCUUCAAGGCGUGCACUACGUGGACGUGGACCGAGCGCGGGACAAGGUGACGGUGACCGGCACGGCGACCCAGAAGAAGGUGCUGCGCGCGGCGCGGCGCACGGGGAAGCUCGUCGUGCUGUGGCCGUCGGCGUACGACCCGGGCUACCACCACGCCUACGCUCACGCUCAGCCGGCCUACUACUCGUACCAGGCCAAGCCCGCCUCCGCCGCCCAUGCGCACCGCUACUACAACAGCGUUCCGCACGGUAGGAGCGGCUACAUGCCGGCGGCGCAGUACGGCAGCGCCAGCUCGUACAACUACCACGUCCAUGGCUACUACGACUCGGACCUCCAUGGGUACUACCACGAGCAGCAGGCGCUGUCCAACGCCGCCGUGCCUGCCGACGAGCGGAGCUACUUCAGCGACGACAACCCCAGCGCCUGCUCCAUCAUGUGA
rnacentral:rRNA from 1 species